rnacentral:misc_RNA from 1 species
AACGCAUAUUGCGCUCUCUGGUAUUCCGGGGAGCAUGCUUGUUUGAGAACCGUUUUCACCCCUCACACCUUAUUUCCGAACUCUCGGGUUCGGAGGUCGGGUGUGGAUCUGGUUCUAUCCCAAGUCACAUUGGGUGAACUGAAAUAAAGUCGCCGGAGCGUAGUCAGUUCGAGGUUUCAUGACCAAUGGAACUAACCCGACAAGACGGAGAUAAUGUGGCUCUCUUAACCGGGAGAGGUGGAAUACCGAAACUUUUGAUUACAAAUAAAGUAAGAGAACCCGCCGAACUUAA